UGAGCGUGGUACUUUACACAGACUCGGACGCGCAUAAUAGCAGACGUGCAGAUUGAGAGAGGGGCAAGGAGAACGCUCGCGGCCCCUCCUCUUUCCUCCCUCCUCUUCUCUUUUCCUCUCCCACCGGGCGGAGAAGCCGCCCCCUUUUGCGCCCCGCCCCCUCUGGCUACCCCGCAGGCGACAAUGGACGAGCCACAGAGAAACAAGUCCCACAAGAGCAAGACCGUCGGCAACAAGGCCGCCAAGAAGGACGCGCUGCGCAAGCGCCGCUCCGGCAUCGACCUAGAACCGAACCGCGGCAGCAAUGUAAAAGCGUUUCAGGGCCCCAGCGCGGGCGGCCACAAGGCGCAGAAGCUCUACCGCUCCAUCGAGAAGAAAGAAACUGCCCUGCAUGUGCCGACGAUGGACAAGACGCUGCGCCACGUUGUGGCCGAGCCACCGCUGCUGGUCGCCGUUGUUGGGCCACCCGGCGUUGGCAAGACGACGCUGAUUCGCUCCAUGGUAAAGUUCUACUCCAAUCGCAACUUGGCCUCGGUGCGCGGCCCCGUGACGGUGAUAGCUGGUCGCUCACGCCGCAUCACCUUCAUGGAGUGCCCCAACACCUUGGCUUCCAUGUGCGACGUGGCCAAGGUCGCGGACCUGGUGCUGCUCAUGGUGGACGGCAGCUUCGGCUUCGAGAUGGAGACGUUUGAGUUUCUCAACAUCGCGCAGGUGCACGGGUUUCCGAAGAUGUUUGGCGUGAUUUCGCACCUCGACACUCUCAAGACGGGAAAAGCGAUGAAGAAGCGCAAGAAGUUUCUUCGGCAUCGCUUCUGGCAUGAGGUGGCGGCUGGCGCCAAGCUGAUCUGCCUCUCCCCUAUGGUGCGAGGCAUGUACCGACCGACCGAUGUGCUGAACCUGCAUCGCCUGCUCAUCUGCGUCGAUCCCAAGAUUCAGGCCUGGCGCAACACACACAGCUGCGUCGUGAUGGAUCGCAUCGAGGACAUCACGGACCCGGACGUCGUCACGAAGAGCCCGCUGCAUAGCCGCACCGUCGCCUUCUACGGCUACGCCCGCGGAAAGCCGAUGAAGCCGGGCCAGCUGGUGCACAUUCCCGGCCUCGGCGACUUCCCGGUGGCGCACCUUUCCCACCAGGCUGAUCCCUGCCAGUUGGACAAGUUCAGCGGCGACAGCAAGGAGGGUGGCAACCACCGCAUGCGCCACCUCAGCCUCAAGCAGAAGAAGCUCUAUGCCCCGUACUGCGACGUAGGCGGUAUCAGCUACGACGACGACGCCAUCUACAUCCAGGAGGACGCCGCGAAGGGCGCGAUCGAACGCAGCGGAGAGGGUCUGCAGCUGCUUCGGGAGCUGCAGAAUGUGCGUCCGAUGGACGCGGCACAGACGAAGUUGCGCGUUGUGCCUCGCCGGCGCCGCCCAAUGAACUUCCGAGACGAGGACACAAUGGAGCUGGACAUGGAGGAGGUUCGCAUGCCCUCCGACGCCGAAGACGACGACGACUGGAGCAACGACGCAGGCGACGAGGGUGCGUACAACGACACUGUUAUCGACUCAGACGAUAACGGAGAGCGUGAGCGCCAGCAGCGCGGCGGACCCCGGCUCUCCGACUUUGGGGUCGCCGAUGACGGAGAGGACGCGGCGGCCACCGCAGGCGGAGACGAUGAUGGCGGGGGCAGCAGUGAGGCUGCUCUGGCGCCCCGUCUGCUCAACGACCCGGACGCGAUUCGUCUGAACGCCAUUCAGCAUGACUGGAGUGAUGCCUCGAUGCUGCGCUCGCUGAAGGACCUCUGUGUCACUGGAAACUGGGAGGCCGGCGCGGAGGGCGUCGACGAGGAGGACGCCGGCGCCGCAGAGGAGGACAGCAAAGGCUACGACAGCAACGAUGAGGACUUUGAGCUGGAGGCGCGUGGGGAGAAGCCCAUGACGCGCCACGACAACAGGCGCAGCGGCGCCGGUGUUGCUGGGGACUCCUCCACCUCCUGGUCUGAGGGAGAUGGCGAGCCCGAUAACGGUGAGGAUGGCUUCGGCAGCGACGGCGUCGACGAUCUCGGCUUUGGCCGCGCCAGAAACGGCUCGCGUGGCACCGCAGCCGCCCCAAGGAGGAUGAACGCGUUGGCGUCCAUCAGAUACGGCGGCGGCGGGCACGGCUCCCCUCGUCAAGGUGAGGGGGCGGAUGUAGAUGACGAGUACGACGGCUACAACAUCCUUGACGACGACAGCGACGGCGGUGAGGUGGACGGCAGCGGCAAGGCUGGCCACAGCGUCGUGGGCGGAGCCGAUCAGGAGCUGGAUGACCUCGUCUCCAGCUUCCUGGCGCACGGCACCUCGCAUAGCGGCAACGGCGGCAGCCGGGCCAACGGACGGGCAGCCACAACGGCCGGCCUCGACGGCGAAGACGGCAUCGAGUUCUUUGACGAGGCGACGCGCUACGACCGCGACGACGAUGGCAAGGAUGGCCACCCGCGCCCGCGCAGGCGCCGCGUCAACCCACAGGAGGAGCGCACCGCCGAAGCGGAGGCGGGCGCCGAGGCCGUUGUGCGACAGGGCGGCAGCCUCACGGAGGAGCAGGAGCGCCUCUUGCAGAAGAAGAUGGCGAAGAAGCGCGCGUUCGACCAAGAUUACGACACUGGCAACGUCGACGGCGGCAAGAACACAACCUUCAGCUACUACCACCGUCUGAACCGGCAGGUGGAGGAGAAGAAGGAGCGCAUCAACGAGGCCCUCGACGAUGUCGGUGACGACAUGGACAAGAAGAUCCAGCUGGUCGGCUACUUCAGUGGCCUUUAUCUGCGCAUUGUGAUCGAUAGCGUCCCUGUCGAGUUCCUCAAGGCGUUCGACCCCGCUGUACCGCUGAUUGCGGGCGGCAUCAACGCCGGCGAGGAUGAGUUCCGUAUCGUUCAGGCCCGCAUCAAGCGCCAUCGGUGGUUCCCGAAGAUCCUCAAGGCGCAGGAUCCGCUGCUUCUCUCGAUGGGCUGGCGCCGCUUUCAGACGCAGCCGAUCUUCUCCACGGAGGACCCGAAUGGGCGGUGCCGCUACCUCAAGUACACGCCACUGCACAUGCACUGUAUGGCAGCCUUCUACGCGCCUGUGGCGCCGCCAAACACCGGGUUUCUCGCCAUCCCGGUUCGCGACCCGCGCGUGUCCUCUUUCCGCAUCCCGUGCACGGGCUACACAAUCGGCAAUGACGUCUCCACGCCCAUCGUGAAGAAGCUGAAGCUGACGGGCACGCCGGCCAAAGUGGAGAAGACGACGGCGUUCAUCAAGGGCAUGUUCAGCAGCGACGUGGAGGCGGCGAAGUUCAUUGGAGCCAAGCUGAGGACGGUGUCAGGCAUCCGCGGUAUCAUUAAGUCUGUAAUGAAAGGCAAGAAGGGGCUCGUGCGUGCAACCUUUGAGGACAAGCUGUUCCCGUCCGACAUUGUCUUUAUUAGCGCGUGGAAAUCUGUGGAGCCGCCGCGGUACUGCUCCAUGCAACGCAAUUUGGUGGAUCCGGAGUGGGUCGGCAUGCGGUCCAUGCGGGAGCUGCGGCUGGACUACAACAUGCCUCUCCCCCGCAACGACGACUCCGAGUACACCGAAAUCAAGCGCCGCCACCGGGUCGCCGAGGAGGACGAGGACCUCACGAAGCAGAAGGUGCUGCUCUCGCGUAACCUCAAGAUGCAGCUUCCGUACGACAUGAAGGAGGACUUCAUUCCAAUCAACCGGGGCACCGCCCUACAAGAGCGCAUCAAAGGGGCAACCACGGUAGCGCCAGAGCCGCGGGAGCAGCGACGGCAGGCCCUGCUUGACACCUUCGCGGAUCGGGCGGAUGCCAUGACGCAGAAGAAGGACGCGGCGAAGAAGCGCGCGCGCGAGCGUUCGGCGAAGGAGGCGGCGAAGGAGCAGGAGGCGUAUCUGCAGGGGCUGAAGAAGGCGAAGAAGGACACGGCCCGCAUGCGAGAAUUCCGCACGCAGCAUAAGUCCCGCAAGUGACAGCAGGUCUUUGCCCUGCCGUCGGAGCUGGCGCUGACGGUGGCGGAGGAAGACGAAGAGGUGGUUAUCACCAGCGUAGCGCCAGGGGGCUGCUGUGAAGCUCGUGUAGCAUAUGUCUGCAAGCGCUUCUCACCAUUUCAGUCGUCCUUGCCCGCACACCUGCUCAAGAGUUUCUUCAACUCGAUGUGCCCGUUGAUGGUGAUGACCCGACACCAUCUCUAUCUUUUUCGCAAGCACUGCCUACACUCUUUCGGCAGCGCUGUCGGCGACUCUGUAUUUCUCUCUGACGGGCAUGUUUUGCUUUUAAGUAUAAGAAGCCACAUACUUUGUGCCGUGGCCAUGGACGGCUAACCGACGACAUCACUCAUCUCACACACACACACACACACACACACACACGCGAGAGAGAGAAAGGGAGGGAGGCAAACGCCGCGUUUAACUUCUCGUGUAACGCGGAGCCGAUUUCUUUUCGACCGUGCACCUCCACGGUUGUCUGUCUUCGUGUGUGUUGGCGCAUGAUUUGCUCUGCACUAACGGUGGCGGAUCGCGUAACAGGCUGUCGCUUCCUUUCCUUCCCUUCCCUUACCCUCUUUCUCUCUCACCCGUGUGUGUGUGCGUGCACGUGUACGUAAUGAACGACAACGAGGUAGACAAACACCUAAGCUUUCAGGAAAAGGGCAGGGCGCAGAUGCGUGGAAGGAAGGAAACACGCCUCCUUCUCGUAUUUUCGUUGCCGUCUCGUUAGCUGGCCCUCUGGACCCCUCUUCCUCACUGCCACAGGUAUUGCCUCCCCUCCCCCCACGGCCCGCAAACCGCCACUUCACAUGAUUGCCAGAGCACCGCCCUUCAACUCACCCGCGCACGUAUCUACUCUUCUCCCUAACUUUGCCCGUCCUCAUCAUCGCUCUCUCCUGGUUUACCACGGUGCACCUCUGCACUCCUCACAACACUUCUGUACUACCGCAG
rnacentral:misc_RNA from 1 species